rnacentral:lncRNA from 1 species
UAGAAGAAGUGGAAGAAUUAGUGUAGCAUAAAGAUGCUGAAGUAGGUUAUUAUUAAUCCAACACUGCUGCAACUGAAUAAGCUACAUAUGUCAAACAUGCAGAGCUAAGAUUCAAAUUCAUCAUCAACUUUCAAAAUUGUGGAAGCCAUAGUCUGCAUGCUGAGGGUUGGUGGCACAAACAGCAUCACCGCUGGAUUCCUUUUCAGUGAUGCAUAGAGAUGCUCAUCCUUUUGCAGUAAUGCAUGGAGUUUGAUUCGUACAACGUUGAAGCUGUCUAAAACAUGUUUCAUCGCUGGAUUCCUUAUACUAUGCCAGAUCAAAGACAUGAAUUGGUAUUCAUUAAACAACAUCACACUUUAAUCCAAACAUCACAGUCACAGAAUUCCAACGCAAACCACAUGACAAUUAUUUAUUAAUGUAAUUAUCAAUUAUCACACAAUAAGUUUAUAGAAUUCCAUAUGACAAUUGCAUAUCAAUUAACUAAAAUUAUCUCACACCAUUUAUCCAUUUUUUAACUUAAUUAAACUUAUUUUAAGCAUUAUAAAUUCAUUUUAACCUAAAAUUACUACUUUUCUUUGAAAGGCUUUUUUUUUACAAUUUUAAUCUAAUUAUUUCUUGGUAAGUAUUCAAAGGAAGAAAACAAGAACUUUAAUGUUCUGGCCUGCAGAGCAGAUAUAAAACCAAUGAAAUUCUGAACUGCUAAAGUAGCAUGGUGCAGUAAACAGCAGCUGCUACUUUUUUGCAGAAUAGCUUGUGUUUGUAACCUAAUUCAGCAUCUCAAGGCUUUGACGUUAACUUUAUCUCAAUAAAGUUAUUAAAAUUCAUUGGAUCAAUGGUACACAUUUCAAUAUUUUCUUAUAAGAGAAAUUAUGAUGAAUUUUACAUGCACAGUUGAAUCUGACAAUCAAAUUUGACAUUUAUGCACAAAACCUAAGAAGUUCCAACGCAUGGUGGUAAAUUUGAAACAUACGGCAAAUUACAGUUGCCUUUUACUGCACCCUGCUAUUUUAACAGCUCAGAAUUUCAUUGGUUUGACUUUAUCUCUAUUUUGCAGGCAUCAAUAUUAAAGUUCUUGUUUCUUCAUAUGUGAGCUCACCAAGACAUAAUUAGAUUAAAAUUGAAAAAAAAAAUGCUUUGAAGGAAAAGUAGUAAUUUUAGUCUUUGCCAGAUUAUCUUAGCUUAUUCGUAAAAUCUAUAUUUUACACUAAAUAAUCACUUUUUAUAGAGGAAAACAAUGCAAUAUAUGAAUUAACGUUUACUUGCUAACUUCUUGAUCCUAUGCAAAAGACUUGAAAAUUAAAUUUAAGAAAAAAAAAUGCUAUCAUAACAAAAAGUUAUUAUUUUCAGGCAAAAUAUUAUCAUUAUGAUGAACUGUUUUUCUCUACAAAGUGAUUAUUUAUAAAAUAUGGAUUAAAGUGUGAUGUGGUUUAAUGAAAACCAAUGCAUGUAUUUGAUCUCACAGUGUAUAAGGAGUCCAACGAUGAUGGUGUUUCUGCCACCAACCCUCACCAUGCAUUGGCUGUUCAAUCUGAAACAUUUUUUUAAAGUUGAUCAUCAAGUUGAAUCUUACCUCUGCAUGUUUCACAUAUGUAGACAGCUUCAACAUUGUACCAAUCAAAUUCCAUGCAUCACUGCAAAAGGAUGAGCAUCUCUAUGCAUCACUGCAAAUGGAUGAAUUGCACCAGUGUUGGGCUAAUUACAUAAUUGAGCAUCUCAAUAACCUAGUUGAGCAUCUCUAUGCUACAUAUUAAUGCUUCCAUCUUAAUUUGUUUAUUAAUAUAUCAGAUUAUAUAUUAUCUGUAUGAGAAUUUAAUGAGAAAAUUUUGAUAAUGUUCUAGUUCUUGUACUUGGUGUUCUGUCUGGUGGUGGAGGUUGAUUUUCCAAGAAACGGUUUUGUUAUGUAGUAAUAGCGUGUGUAGUUCCCAAGAAAAUGAAUACUACUGCACUUAUUGUUUUGUAGCAAUCUUGGCCUAAUAACCUACUUCACCAUCUCAAUACUACAUUAAUGCUUCCAUCUUAAUUUCUUUAUUCAUUAAUAUAUCAGAUCAUAUAUUAUUUCUAACAAAAUUUAAGAAAACAUUUAAGACUCUAUAGAGGUGAGAACCUCUUGUUUGUUAUCUGUGUAUGGGUUGGAAUACGUGAAGUAUCCUCUUUUAUUAUAUUAUUUGUUAAUAAAAAAAUAAAAAUUGAAGAUUGGUGUUGUAACUUGUAUCGUAUGUAGUAAAUAUGUAGUAAAUAUUCAUUAACAAAAUUAUUUAGAGGUAGACAAUAUAUGAAUGAAGAUGUUUUUGUUUCUUAACUACUCUCAAUUGAAUUGAAAUGAAACUUUCUUUUUUUUAUAGCAAAGAAACUUUCAUUUGAAUCAAGUAAGACUACAAGCCAUUUUCAUUGGAAAAUAAAACUUUUAACACUCUUCAAGAUUUAUAUCAGACUAAAAACAAACAAUGAUUAACCAUGCAAUGUUCAUUUCCAGUCAGUUGUGCAAGAUAAGAUUUCACUCAUGCAUACAUUCUUUUUAUAAUAAAGAUAUAUUAUUAAAAUUUCAAAGAAUAGCUAAACACAUAGCAGUUACUAAACAAAAAAUGUACUUACCAGUCACGAAGUAAAUGAUUCCAUUUGCAAUAGUGAUGUAGCAAAGAAAUCAGCACCCAAAACAAAGAAAGGCUUUUUGAGAGGAAGAAAACCAGUGAAAAACACUUCUCACACAAGAAGGAACAAAUGGUAAAAGACUAGAUUGUAUGCUUGUUUGGGGAAAACCAGUGUGGUUUAUUCUUGUACAAACUAUUU